GAUGAAGAACGUAGUGAAAUGCGAUAAGUAAUGUGAAUUGCAGAAUACAGUGAAUCAUCGAAUCUUUGAACGCACCUUGCGCCCUUUGGCUAUUCCGAAGGGCAUGCCUGUUUGAGUAUCAUGAACACCUCAACUCUCAUGGUUUGCCAUGAUGAGCUUGGACUCUGGGGGUCUUGCUGGCCUAUGGUCAGCUCCUCUCAAAUAAAUCAGCUUGCCAGUGUUUGGUGGCAUCACAGGUGUGAUAACUAUCUACGCUUGUGGUUUUCCAUCAGGUAACCUUCAGUGAUGGAGGUUCGCUGGAGCUCAUAAAUGUCCCUCCUCAGCGAGGACAGCUUUUUGAACAUUUGAUCUCAAAUCAGGUAGGACUACCCGCUGAACUUAAGCAUAUCAUAAGCGGAGGA
rnacentral:misc_RNA from 1 species